rnacentral:rRNA from 1 species
GAGUUUGAUCCUGGCUCAGAUUGAACGCUGGCGGCAGGCCUAACACAUGCAAGUCGAACGGUAACAGGAAGUGCUUGCACUUCGCUGACGAGUGGCGGACGGGUGAGUAAUGCUUGGGAACUUGCCUUUGCGAGGGGGAUAACAGUUGGAAACGACUGCUAAUACCGCAUAAUGUCUUCGGACCAAACGGGGCUUCGGCUCCGGCGCAAAGAGAGGCCCAAGUGAGAUUAGCUAGUUGGUGAGGUAAAGGCUCACCAAGGCGACGAUCUCUAGCUGUUCUGAGAGGAAGAUCAGCCACACUGGGACUGAGACACGGCCCAGACUCCUACGGGAGGCAGCAGUGGGGAAUAUUGCACAAUGGGGGAAACCCCGAUGCAGCCAUGCCGCGUGUGUGAAGAAGGCCUUCGGGUUGUAAAGCACUUUCAGUUGUGAGGAAAGGUUGGUAGUUAAUACCUGCCAGCUGUGACGUUAACAACAGAAGAAGCACCGGCUAACUCCGUGCCAGCAGCCGCGGUAAUACGGAGGGUGCGAGCGUUAAUCGGAAUUACUGGGCGUAAAGCGCACGCAGGCGGUUUGUUAAGCUAGAUGUGAAAGCCCCGGGCUCAACCUGGGAUGGUCAUUUAGAACUGGCAGACUAGAGUCUUGGAGAGGGGAGUGGAAUUCCAGGUGUAGCGGUGAAAUGCGUAGAUAUCUGGAGGAACAUCAGUGGCGAAGGCGACUCCCUGGCCAAAGACUGACGCUCAUGUGCGAAAGUGUGGGUAGCGAACAGGAUUAGAUACCCUGGUAGUCCACACCGUAAACGCUGUCUACUAGCUGUUUGUGACUUUAAGUCGUGAGUAGCGAAGCUAACGCGCUAAGUAGACCGCCUGGGGAGUACGGCCGCAAGGUUAAAACUCAAAUGAAUUGACGGGGGCCCGCACAAGCGGUGGAGCAUGUGGUUUAAUUCGAUGCAACGCGAAGAACCUUACCUACACUUGACAUGCAGAGAACUUUCUAGAGAUAGAUUGGUGCCUUCGGGAACUCUGACACAGGUGCUGCAUGGCUGUCGUCAGCUCGUGUCGUGAGAUGUUGGGUUAA